AUAUCAGUCAUGCAUAGCAUAUCAAUAAGCGGAGGAAAAGAAACUAACUAGGAUUCCCUUAGUAACGGCGAGUGAAGCGGGAAGAGCUCAAAUUUGAAAUCUUCAAGGUUCUACCUUGACGAAUUGUAGUUUAUAGAAGUGUUUUCUGUUAGUAGAGUUGGCUAAAAGUUCUUUGGAAUAGGACAUCAUAGAGGGUGAGAAUCCCGUAUUUGGAUCAUUCUUUCUAAGCUUUGUGAUACACUUUCAACGAGUCGGAUUGUUUGGGAAUGCAGUCCAAAAUGGGUGGUAAAUUUCAUCUAAGGCUAAAUAUUGGCGAGAGACCGAUAGCGAACAAGUACCGUGAGGGAAAGAUGAAAAGAACUUUGAAAAGAGAGUUAAACAGUACGUGAAAGUUGUCAAAAGGGAAGCGUUUGACACCAGUAGUUGUUUUUCUCGAAAAUCAAUUAACGAAUGGAUUUUGUUUUAGAGUUAUGACUUUCAUCGCUUGCUUCUUUCUUUACGAACUUUCUUAAUGCACUUUUCGUUAACAAGUCAACAUCAAUUUCUUUUGCUGUAAAAGGGUAUGAGGAAGGUGGCUUUCUUUUCGGAGAAAGUGUUUAUAGCCUUGUGCCUCUGCAGUCGGAGAGAUUGAGGUCUGCAGCGUAGAUCCUUCGGGGUUAGAUAGCAUUUGUGCUAAGUUAUAGCUUUUCAUAGACAACUUGUUGACUAUGAUUUAGUCAUUGUAGCUUACUCGCUUACGCUAUUUUACCUACGCUUAGGAUGUUGAUCUCUCACAGUCGAGC
rnacentral:rRNA from 1 species